rnacentral:lncRNA from 1 species
AUUCAGAUUACUUAAAAUUCAGAACUAUUUCAUUCAAUUUUAUUGAACACCCCCUUAUAAUAUUAUUUAUGAUUUAUUUUCUCUCUCUUCAUUCCAAAUCUUAACAAAAUUAGGGGGGAUGAGAUUGUGUUUCAUGUUAAAGUUAAUAGCGUUACUUUUUUCCAAUGUUAUAUCGUAUUGUUUAAUUUCAAUGAAUUUUUUGUAAAGUUAAAUGGGCAUAGUGUUUAAAAAAAAGGUCAAAAAUAAUUUUAAAAUAAAAAGUGUACAAAUAAAUUUGGACAGACUAAAAAGAAAAUCAAGUACAAAUAAACUCAGAUGGAGGGA